GUUGCGCACGCUGGCCUACUUCCUUUCCUGCAGCGCGGUGGAACGCAAGCAGGCCGUGCUGCAUGGCGGCCAGCGGAGGCCGGCGGCGGCGGCCGAGCCCGGCGUGCCCUUGGGCUCUUCCAGGUGCUUGAACAAAUGUCUUCCACAAACUUGUCAUGAAAAGUGAUUGAAACAAACUACCAGGACUACGUUUGCCAAUAACAAGCAUGUAGGUGGCUGUAGUGAAUGUCCAACUUUGGGAGCUGUGAUUUUGGUUUUUAAAAAAACCCUUCAUUGUUUUGGGUGCAGUGCACAUUUUGGAAGGUAAAAGAAGACUUGAUCAAGAAACCAUGAACAGAAGCAAAUGGUGAAAAUUAGUAUUUAAUUUGGUAUUAAUAAAUGUUAUGUAGAAAUAAACA